rnacentral:rRNA from 1 species
GUGGGGUGAUGGCCUACCCAGGCGUCGACGGGUAGCCGGCCUGAGAGGGUGUCCGGCCACACUGGGACUGAGAUACGGCCCAGACUCCUACGGGAGGCAGCAGUGGGGAAUAUUGCACAAUGGGCGCAAGCCUGAUGCAGCGACGCCGCGUGGGGGAUGACGGCCUUCGGGUUGUAAACCUCUUUCAAUAGGGACGAAGCGCAAGUGACGGUACCUAUAGAAGAAGCACCGGCCAACUACGUGCCAGCAGCCGCGGUAAUACGUAGGGUGCGAGCGUUGUCCGGAAUUACUGGGCGUAAAGAGCUUGUAGGUGGUUUGUCGCGUUGUUCGUGAAAUCUCACGGCUUAACUGUGAGCGUGCGGGCGAUACGGGCAGACUAGAGUACUGCAGGGGAGACUGGAAUUCCUGGUGUAGCGGUGGAAUGCGCAGAUAUCAGGAGGAACACCGGUGGCGAAGGCGGGUCUCUGGGCAGUAACUGACGCUGAGAAGCGAAAGCGUGGGGAGCGAACAGGAUUAGAUACCCUGGUAGUCCACGCCGUAAACGGUGGGUACUAGGUGUGGGUUUCCUUCCUUGGGAUCCGUGCCGUAGCUAACGCAUU